CACACCGCCCGUCGCUACUACCGAUUGAAUGGCCUAGCAAGACCUUCGGAUUGGCACCGUCUCGGUUGGAGCAAUCUAGCCAAAACGGAAUAGCCGAGAAGUCGCUCUAGCUCGACCAUUUAGAGGAAGUAAAAGUCGUAACAAGGUUUCCGUAGGUGAACCUGCGGAAGGAUCAUUA
rnacentral:rRNA from 1 species